CAGUAGCCGCGGUAAUACGAAAGGUCCAAGCGUUACUCGGAAUUACUGGGCGUAAAGCGCGCGUAGGCGGUUUUGUAUGUCGAUUGUGAAAGCCCCGGGCUCAACCUGGGAACUGCAGUCGAAACUGCAAGACUUGAAUGUUGGAGAGGUUGGGGGAAUACCUAGUGGAGAAGUGAAAUUCGUAGAGAUUAGGUGGAACACCAGAGGCGAAGGCGCCUGACUGGCCAAACAUUGACGCUAAGGCGCGAAAGCGUGGGUAGCAAACAGGAUUAGAUACCCCAGUAGUCCCUGUCUCUUAUAC
rnacentral:rRNA from 1 species